rnacentral:rRNA from 1 species
CCUACGGGAGGCAGCAGUGAGGAAUAUUGGUCAAUGGACGAGAGUCUGAACCAGCCAAGUAGCGUGAAGGAUGACUGCCCUAUGGGUUGUAAACUUCUUUUAUAAAGGAAUAAAACGAGGCACGUGUGCCUUUUUGCAUGUACUUUAUGAAUAAGGAUCGGCUAACUCCGUGCCAGCAGCCGCGGUAAUACGGAGGAUCCGAGCGUUAUCCGGAUUUAUUGGGUUUAAAGGGAGCGUAGAUGGGUUGUUAGGUCAGUGGUGAAAGUGUGCGGCUCAACCGUAAAAUUGCCAUUGAUACUGGCAGUCUCGAGUACAGUUGAGGUAGGCGGAAUUCGUGGUGUAGCGGUGAAAUGCUUAGAUAUCACGCAGAACCCCGAUUGCGAAGGCAGCUUACUAACCUGUGACUGACGUUGAUGCUCGAAAGUGUGGGUAUCAAACAGGAUUAGAUACCCGAGUAGUC